rnacentral:misc_RNA from 1 species
AACGCACAUUGCGCCCGCCAGUAUUCUGGCGGGCAUGCCUGUUCGAGCGUCGUUUCGACCCUCAGGACCUUCCUAGGUCCUGGUGCUGGGGCUCUUCUGCAGCGUCUGCAGGCCCUAAAGGACAGUGGCGGGUCCGCUGGACACCCGAGCGUAGUACUAAAACUUUUCGCUAAGGGUUUCUCGGUGGGGAACCCGGCCGUAAAACUGGCUGCCGCGGGCGGCAGGGCUCUAGCCCUGUGUCGGCGCGCACGCGCAUUUUGCAAGGUCGACCUCGGAUCAGGUAGGAAUACCCGCUGAACUUAA